rnacentral:lncRNA from 1 species
GGUGUUUGCAUGUAAUCUUGUGUAUAAGCUCAGACCAGCCACAUUCCAGGCUCCCAGGAGUCACACAUGGUCAAUACCUGUCACAUUGAAGUGCAGCUCUGUUGUCAGGUCUGUGAAAGGCCUGAAUAUCCCUUUUCUUCCUGUUAGGAAUAACGCUCAAAAUCAUAAGGAAAUUGAACACUCGAACAAAGGAUUCCUAGCAAAGCAAUUUUAGUUCUGCACAGAGGGGUGCGUUCUUGUCCAGUCACCAUGAGAGCACACCUGAACAAAGGGGCACAAGAGCCUUUAUUCCUGACACAAGUCCUGCCCCUGUACCCUUUCCCCAUUGGCCAGGGUCGGGUCGUACAAUCUGAACUAAUCCUGGUUGGCUAAACAUUUGAUUUUUUUAGAUAAGGUGGGCAUGCAAAAGAAUGCAGAGAGGAAGGGGAAGGGGUGUCUGCAUUGAGCUAGAAAGUUAGUCCUCUUUCCAAAUAAGGGAAGAAAUGUGAGCUGGUACUGAUAAUGCCUGGUACUGUGGCGUGCCUGGGCAUCUAACAAAGGCAGAAAGGAAAAAGGAGAAAAAGGAAAAAAAGGGGUGUGUGUGUGGGUACUAUGAAUUAAAGAAUAAAAGAUUGAUCAGGCUAUUUGAAGAGAAACCUCAUCGUAUCCCACAUGCCCGACAUGAGGGAACAGCCUCUUUCUACUAACAUCUGUCUUCAGUUUCAAGGGUGGAACAGAUAGUGGUCAUAGAAAGAGCAGAAGGUAACAAGAAUAAAAUAACCACAGGUAGACCACUGAAGAAUGAUGGGGCCACAGGAGAACAAAACUCUAUGUCUUCAGACCUGUCCACAGUAUUGACCUCCAAUUUUUAGAUAUGAAGAAAAUAGAUUAAAGGCAAACUUUGGCUAUUUGGCCUUGGCCAUAAUGGUCAGGCUCUGGUCAUCGGUUUUUUCCUGUGGUGUGGGGGACUGUGUGCAUAUAAGCACCAAUCACAUGCAUACAUGUCUACAAGUAUUCCUGCAUCAGUCAACAUUGCCUUACAAGACAUUUAACUUUAAAUCGGGAAAAAUGUCAGUACCUUUAGGGUGCCCAUUGUUAGAAGGUGACUAAUAAUCAAACUGUCUUUAAAUCUUGACACCCAAUCUGCACUGGGUGCAUGUAUUAGUUAGGUAUGGCAGCAUAACAAAUCAUCCAAAACUUAUUAGCUCAUAAUUGAGAUGGUCCGCCAUUUAGGCUAGGCUCAGUGGGGCCAUUCUUCUGUUCCCAGCUGAGCUCCUUCAGACAUGUAUUGUCAGCUGUUUGUUGACUAGGCAGCUGUGCUUCUGGGAGUGAGCUUGUGCUUCAAGAUCUGUCAACAGGGGCACCUUGCUACUCCUCCUCGUGGUAUUUUAUCCUCUAGGUGGCUAACAUGGACUUUAUUGAUGGAGACAGCAGCAUUCUGAAAGAAAAGCAGAAGCAUUCAACACCAUUUGAGCCCAGGCCCCAAACUAGCCCACUGUCAUGUUCACA